AUGCCUAUGAACAUGUGGUUUAGGCCAUUCUGACCACUGUUGCCCUAGUGUCUUUCACUAUUUUUUACAUCAUACUUCUUGUUUUACUUCUGUGUAGAUGGGGUAGGAAUCAAUCCUCAGCAAAGUGCAGGCAAUGUCUUCCUUAAACAUGGUUCUGAACUGCGCCUGAUCCCACGUGAUAGGGUUGGAGCUUCUGAAUGUUGAAAACAUGAUCAUCAUCAGACUAAAAAACUGGUUAAUCUUUGUGCUUACUCUGUUAUCUUAUUUUCUUCUAUACCAUUCUGUAACUUUUAAUUAGUGUAACUGGUAUCAUAAUCAAUAUCAAUUGAGAAGGAAGGUAGCUGAAGGUAUCUGCAAUGCAUGGUCUUUCAAGUUAAUCAUAAUAGAAAGGUCUCCUUGCCCUUUUUCUUA